rnacentral:rRNA from 1 species
UGGGGAAUAUUGCGCAAUGGGGGAAACCCUGACGCAGCGACGCCGCGUGUGGGAUGAAGGUCUUCGGAUUGUAAACCACUGUCGCGAGGGACGAAGCUCUGACGGUACCUCGAAAGGAAGCACCGGCUAACUCUGUGCCGGCAGCCGCGGUAAUACAGAGGGUGCGAGCGUUGUCCGGAAUCACUGGGCGUAAAGGGCGCGUAGGCGGCCCGGUAAGUAGGGGGUGAAAUCUCAUGGCUCAACUGUGAGGCUGCCUUCUAGACUGCCAGGCUUGAGCACAGUAGAGGCGAGUGGAAUUCCCGGUGUAGCGGUGGAAUGCGUAGAGAUCGGGAAGAACAUCGGUGGCGAAGGCGGCUCGCUGGGCUGUUGCUGACGCUGAGGCGCGAAAGCGUGGGGAGCAAACAGGAUUAGAUACCCCUGUAGUCCCUGAGCGGGCUGGCAAGGCGCAU